UGGAUUUCUACCAGCGUCUCUGCUCGAGGACCACCAAUUCUAUACUGUGAUUCUUGACUGCUUGUGUACAAACUCUGUCUUGUUCUAAGGAUUGCAUCUUAAUACCUUGAUGGGAUCUUCUAGUAAUAACCCGGACUUGGUUAAAAGACUGUCUUCUAUCUAUUCCCUGGACAUUGUAAAGGAUUACCUGUUACUAGAGAUUUAUUUAAGAACGUUCCUCCUCUUCUUCUCAGACUUGAUUUGUUGGUUACUGGAACUGGAUCUGGCUAACUGGAUUUUAAUUCUCCUCGCUUUCUGGAUUCUUAUCAACAUUGUAACUCCUGUAGCAAUGGAUUAGUUACUGGCUGCUGCUAUAAUUUUAUAUCUCCUGUGAACAUCAUCAAUAUACCAACAUUUUG